GGCCAAGUUUUUAAGGGCGCACGGUGGAUGCCUUGGCACCAGGAACCGAUGAAGGACGUGGGAGGCCACGAUAGGCCCCGGGGAGUCGUCAACCAGGCUUUGAUCCGGGGGUGUCCGAAUGGGGAAACCCGGCAGUCGUCAUGGGCUGUCACCCGCUGCUGAACACAUAGGCAGUGUGGAGGGAACGCGGGGAAGUGAAACAUCUCAGUACCCGCAGGAAGAGAAAACAACCGUGAUUCCGGGAGUAGUGGCGAGCGAAACCGGAUGAGGCCAAACCGUAUGCGUGUGAGACCCGGCAGGGGUUGCGUAUGCGGGGUUGUGGGAUCUCUCUUCUGUUGUCUGCCGGCAACAGGACGAGUCAGAAACCGUUGAUAUAGGCGAAGGACAUGCGACAGGUCCGGCGUAGAGGGUAAGACCCCCGUAGUCGAAAUGUCAGAGGCUCGUUGGAGAGAUACCCAAGUAGCACGGGGCCCGAGAAAUCCCGGGUGAAUCUGGCGGGACCACCCGCUAAGCCGAAAUAUUCCCUGGUGACCGAUAGCGGAUAGUACCGUGAGGGAAUGGUGAAAAGUACCCCGGGAGGGGAGUGAAAUAGUACCUGAAACCGUGUGCCUACAAGCCGUGGGAGCGUCGGAACGAGGCUUGCCUUGUUCUCGUGACUGCGUGCCUUUUGAAGAAUGAGCCUGCGAGUUUGCGGUGUGUUGCGAGGUUAACCCGGGUGGGGUAGCCGUAGCGAAAGCGAGUCCGAAUAGGGCGGUGGAGUAGCACGCUCAAGACCCGAAGCGGAGUGAUCUAGCCAUGGGCAGGUUGAAGCGGAGGUAAGACUUCGUGGAGGACCGAACCCACCAGGGUUGAAAACCUGGGGGAUGACCUGUGGUUAGGGGUGAAAGGCCAAUCAAACUCCGUGAUAGCUGGUUCUCCCCGAAAUGCAUUUAGGUGCAGCGUCGUGUGUUUCUUGCCGGAGGUAGAGCACUGGAUAGGCGAUGGGCCCUACCGGGUUACUGACCUUAGCCAAACUCCGAAUGCCGGUAAGUGAGAGCGCGGCAGUGAGACUGUGGGGGAUAAGCUCCAUGGUCGAGAGGGAAACAGCCCAGAGCAUCGACUAAGGCCCCUAAGCGUACGCUAAGUGGGAAAGGAUGUGGAGUCGCAGAGACAACCAGGAGGUUGGCUUAGAAGCAGCCACCCUUGAAAGAGUGCGUAAUAGCUCACUGGUCUAGUGAUUCCGCGCCGACAAUGUAGCGGGGCUCAAGCGUACCGCCGAAGUCGUGUCAUUGCAGCAUGUACGCCCAACGGCGGCUGUGAUGGGUAGGGGAGCGUCGUCUGCCGGGUGAAGCAGCACCGGAAGGUAGUUGUGGACGGUUGACGAGUGAGAAUGCAGGCAUGAGUAGCGAUUCACACGUGAGAAACGUGUGCGCCGAUUGACUAAGGGUUCCUGGGUCAAGCUGAUCUGCCCAGGGUAAGUCGGGACCUAAGGCGAGGCCGACAGGCGUAGUCGAUGGAUAACCGGUUGAUAUUCCGGUACCCGCUGUGAAGCGUCAAACAUCGAAUCCAGUGAUGCUAAGCCCGUGAAGCCGCCGGGGACCGGCUUUGACGUGUCUCGGAGUGGUGGAGCCGGUGACCCGAGCUGGUAGUAGGUGAGUGAUGGGGUGACGCAGGAAGGUAGUCCAUCCCGGGCGGUGGUUGUCCCGGGGUAAGGGUGUAGGACGUCAGGUAGGUAAAUCCGCCUGGCACAUGAGUCUGAGACCGGUGACCCGAGCUGGUAGUAGGUGAGUGAUGGGGUGACGCAGGAAGGUAGUCCAUCCCGGGCGGUGGUUGUCCCGGGGUAAGGGUGUAGGACGGUGUGUAGGCAAAUCCGCACGCCAUGAGUCUGAGACCUGAUGCCGAGCCGAUUGUGGUGAAGUGGAUGAUCCUAUGCUGUCGAGAAAAGCCUCUAGCGAGUUUCAUGGCGGCCCGUACCCUAAACCGACUCAGGUGGUCAGGUAGAGAAUACCGAGGCGUUCGGGUGAACUAUGGUUAAGGAACUCGGCAAAAUGCCCCCGUAACUUCGGGAGAAGGGGGGCCAUUCCUGGUGACGGCACUUGCUGUCUGAGCUGGGGGUGGCCGCAGAGACCAGCGAGAAGCGACUGUUUACUAAAAACACAGGUCCGUGCGAAGCCGUAAGGCGAUGUAUACGGACUGACGCCUGCCCGGUGCUGGAACGUUAAGGGGACCGGUUAGCUUGGAUUCGUCCAGGCGAAGCUGAGAACUUAAGCGCCAGUAAACGGCGGUGGUAACUAUAACCAUCCUAAGGUAGCGAAAUUCCUUGUCGGGUAAGUUCCGACCUGCACGAAUGGCGUAACGACUUCUCGACUGUCUCAACCAUAGGCCCGGUGAAAUUGCACUACGAGUAAAGAUGCUCGUUUCGCGCAGCAGGACGGAAAGACCCCGGGACCUUUACUACAGUUUGAUAUUGGUGUUCGGUUCGGCUUGUGUAGGAUAGCUGGGAGACUGUGAAGCCUGGACGCCAGUUCGGGUGGAGUCGUCGUUGAAAUACCAGUCUGGUCGUGCUGGAUGUCUAACCUGGGUCCGUGAUCCGGAUCAGGGACAGUGUCUGAUGGGUAGUUUAACUGGGGCGGUUGCCUCCUAAAGGGUAACGGAGGCGCCCAAAGGUUCCCUCAGCCUGGUUGGCAAUCAGGUGUUGAGUGUAAGUGCACAAGGGAGCUUGACUGUGAGACCGACGGGUCGAGCAGGGACGAAAGUCGGGACUAGUGAUCCGGCGGUGGCUUGUGGAAGCGCCGUCGCUCAACGGAUAAAAGGUACCCCGGGGAUAACAGGCUGAUCUUCCCCAAGAGUCCAUAUCGACGGGAUGGUUUGGCACCUCGAUGUCGGCUCGUCGCAUCCUGGGGCUGGAGUCGGUCCCAAGGGUUGGGCUGUUCGCCCAUUAAAGCGGUACGCGAGCUGGGUUUAGAACGUCGUGAGACAGUUCGGUCCCUAUCCGCUGUGCGCGUAGGAGUCUUGAGAAGGGCUGUCCCUAGUACGAGAGGACCGGGACGGACGAACCUCUGGUGUGCCAGUUGUUCUGCCAAGGGCAUGGCUGGGUGGCUACGUUCGGGAGGGAUAACCGCUGAAAGCAUGUAAGCGGGAAGCCUGCUUCGAGAUGAGGACUCCCACCCACUUGAUGGGGGAAGGCUCCCAGUAGACGACUGGGUUGAUAGGCCGGAUAUGGAAGCCAGGUGACUGGUGGAGUUGACCGGUACUAAUAGGCCGAGGGCUUGUCCUC
rnacentral:rRNA from 1 species